AUGAACGCUAGCGGCAGGCUUAACACAUGCAAGUCGAGGGGCAGCACGGGUAGCAAUACCUGGUGGCGACCGGCGCAAGGGUGCGUAACGCGUGAGCAACAUGCCCUAUACAGGGGGAUAAUCCAGGGAAACUUGGUCUAAUAUCCCAUAGUAUUUAGAGGAGGCAUCUUCUAUAAAUUAAAGCUUCGGUGGUAUAGGAUUGGCUCGCGUGACAUUAGCUAGAUGGUGAGGUAACGGCUCACCAUGGCAAUGAUGUCUAGGGGUUCUGAGAGGAAGGCCCCCCACACUGGGACUGAGACACGGCCCAGACUCCUACGGGAGGCAGCAGUGAGGAAUAUUGGACAAUGGAUGGAAAUCUGAUCCAGCCAUGCCGCGUGCAGGAAGACAGCCCUAUGGGUUGUAAACUGCUUUUCCAGGGAGAGAAACUUACGCACGUGUUGCGUGACUGACGGUACCCUGGGAAUAAGCAUCGGCUAACUCCGUG
rnacentral:rRNA from 1 species